CUCGCUUCAGUAAAUGUGUAUUUACUCUGAUGAGUUCAAAAGAACGAAAAGCGAU
rnacentral:hammerhead_ribozyme from 1 species